rnacentral:rRNA from 1 species
GACGAACGCUGGCGGCGUGCUUAACACAUGCAAGUCGAACGGAAAGGCCCUGCUUUUGUGGGGUGCUCGAGUGGCGAACGGGUGAGUAACACGUGAGUAACCUGCCCUUGACUUUGGGAUAACUUCAGGAAACUGGGGCUAAUACCGGAUAGGAGCUCCUGCUGCAUGGUGGUGUUUGGAAAGUUUCGGCGGUUGGGGCUGGACUCGCGGCUUAUCAGCUUGUUGGUGGGGUAGUGGCUUACCAAGGCUUUGACGGGUAGCCGGCCUGAGAGGGUGACCGGCGACAUUGGGACUGAGAUACUGCCCAGACUCCUACGGGAGGCAGCAGUGGGGAAUAUUGCACAAUGGGCGGAAGCCUGAUGCAGCAACGCCGCGUGCGGGAUGACGGCCUUCGGGUUGUAAACCGCUUUCGCCUGUGACGAAGCGUGAGUGACGGUAAUGGGUAAAGAAGCACCGGCUAACUACGUG